rnacentral:lncRNA from 1 species
GUGAUAAAUGAGAAGAUAAGGCAAUCAGUGCACACCAUGACACUGUGUGCAGCUAGUUAGGCAUACUUCGAACCCAUUCAGCAGGCCCAGACGUGGACCCCCGUGCCAGAGCUGAUUCAACCACGAAUGGAGUAAAGGGAACUUGUUUGCAAUGUUUUCUCCCUCUCACCACAGUGGACCUCCUCGUCUUCUCUAAAGGCCAAACCAAGGCCCGGAUCGAUGAGACAGCCAGCAGCAGAGGCAGGCUCGGGGCUACUACCGGAAAGGUUCUGCCACUGCUGGUUCUGAGCUUUGUUCUGGGG